CCAUGAAUCUGGUCUUGGGACACUGUCAGGUGGGCAGUUUGACUGGGGCGGUCGCCUCCCAAAAGGUAACGGAGGCGCUCAAAGGUUCUCUCAGUACGGUCGGAAAUCGUACGUAGAGUGUAAAGGCAAAAGAGAGCUUGAUUGCAAGACAUACAGGUCGAGCAAGGAUGAAAAUCGGACUUAGUGAUCCGGUGGUUCUGCGUGGAAGGGCCAUCGCUCAACGGAUAAAAGCUACCCUGGGGAUAACAGGCUUAUCUCCCCCAAGAGUCCACAUCGACGGGGAGGUUUGGCACCUCGAUGUCGGCUCAUCACAUCCUGGGGCUGUAGUAGGUCCCAAGGGUUGGGCUGUUCGCCCAUUAAAGUGGUACGCGAGCUGGGUUCAGAACGUCGUGGGACAGUUCGGUCCCUAUCCGUCGCAGGCGUAGGAAAUUUGAGAAGACCUGUCCUUAGUACGAGAGGACCGGGAUGGACGUACCUCUGGUGUACCAGUUGUCCUGCCAAGGGCAUGGCUGGGUAGCUA
rnacentral:rRNA from 1 species